GCCCGGGUGGUGGAAUGGCAGACACGCACGACUCAAAAUCGUGUGCCGCAAGGCAUGAGAGUUCGAGUCUCUCCCCGGGCACCA
rnacentral:tRNA from 1 species